UACAGAGGUCGCGAGCGUUAAUCGGAUUUACUGGGCGUAAAGCGUGUGUAGGUGGUUGUUCAAGUCGGUUGUGAAAUCCCCGGGCUCAACCUGGGAACUGCUUCCGAGACUGAGCGACUAGAGAUCGGUAGAGGGCGGUGGAAUUUCCGGUGUAGCGGUGAAAUGCGUAGAUAUCGGAAGGAACACCAAUGGCGAAGGCAGCCGCCUGGGCCUGAUCUGACACUGAGACACGAAAGCGUGGGAAUCAAACAGG
rnacentral:rRNA from 1 species